rnacentral:rRNA from 1 species
UACGUAGGUGGCAAGCGUUGUCCGGAUUUACUGGGCGUAAAGAGCGCGCAGGCGGUCGUGCAAGUCGCGUGUGAAAGCCCCCGGCUCAACUGGGGAGGGUCACGCGAUACUGUUCGACUCGAAGGCAGGAGAGGGAAGCAGAAUUCCCGGUGUAGUGGUGAAAUGCGUAGAUAUCUGGAGGAACACCGGUGGCGAAGGCGGCAUUCUGGACCAUAACUGACACUGAGAGACGAAAGCCAGGGGAGCAAACGGG